GCCGCCCUAGCUCAGCUGGUAGAGCAAUUCAUUCGUAAUGAAUAGGUCGUCGGUUCGAGUCCGAUGGGUGGCUCCA
rnacentral:tRNA from 1 species